rnacentral:lncRNA from 1 species
AAAAACCUAAAAUUUAUCAGCUUUAUGCAUAUGACGUGCAGGCCCAAAAUUCUACCAGAAUAAGAACACAUGCAUAGGAUGGUUAGGCAGGAUGUUAAAUAAGAAUUUGACAGUCACUUAAAAAACAUAUCUACAUAUAAACUUAAGCUGAAAUAUUUAUUUAUAUGUAUAAUAAACUGAAACAUUCUAUAUACAUAAAAAUCAAAUUG